UACGGAGGAUCCAAGCGUUAUCCGGAUUUAUUGGGUUUAAAGGGUGCGUAGGCGGUUUAUUAAGUCAGGGGUGAAAGACGGCAGCUUAACUGUCGCAGUGCCUUUGAUACUGAUGAACUUGAAUGUACUAGAAGUAGGCGGAAUGUGACAAGUAGCGGUGAAAUGCAUAGAUAUGUCACAGAACACCGAAUGCGAAGGCAGCUUACUAUGGUAUUAUUGACGCUGAGGCACGAAAGCGUGGGGAUCAAACAGG
rnacentral:rRNA from 1 species